GAUGCUUCUUCACACCCUCCUCCAAAAAAGAAUAGAUUAUGUGGAAGAAGGAAUAUGUGUAGACACUUGGGUGACAAAUUUUGAUUGCAUAGUUGAAGAGAAAUUACCUACUUACCAAAAAGGGAUGUCAAUAGACUAUUUGCUAUCUCAGAUAUUUAUUGUGUGUAGCUCUUAAAAAAAGAGAUUCAUCUAGAGAAGACUUAAUCAUGUUUCCUAAUGGCUAAAAUGGGAGAAGACAGACUUCAGCUAGUGAGAAGUAUGGGAAGGCUGCCAGACAUCACUCUUGUCCAGUACACUAAGCCUAAGAGAGCAGUGCUGGCAUCAUCCCUGAAGGAACAACUAAAUGUGCCCACACAGCAAGGUGAGAUGUCCCUUGUAGCAGCUGCAAAGCAGAG